rnacentral:rRNA from 1 species
UACGUAGGGUGCGAGCGUUGUCCGGAAUUAUUGGGCGUAAAGAGCUCGUAGGCGGCCUGUCGCGUCGGAUGUGAAAGCCCGGGGCUUAACCCCGGGUCUGCAUUCGAUACGGGCAGGCUAGAGUGUGGUAGGGGAGAUCGGAAUUCCUGGUGUAGCGGUGAAAUGCGCAGAUAUCAGGAGAAACACCGGUGGCGAAGGCGGAUCUCUGGGCCAUUACUGACGCUGAGGAGCGAAAGCGUGGGGAGCGAACAGG